UGGGGAAUAUUGCACAAUGGGCGCAAGCCUGAUGCAGCCAUGCCGCGUGUAUGAAGAAGGCCUUCGGGUUGUAAAGUACUUUCAGCGGGGAGGAAGGGAGUAAAGUUAAUACCUUUGCUCAUUGACGUUACCCGCAGAAGAAGCACCGGCUAACUCCGUGCCAGCAGCCGCGGUAAUACGGAGGGUGCAAGCGUUAAUCGGAAUUACUGGGCGUAAAGCGCACGCAGGCGGUUUGUUAAGUCAGAUGAGAAAUCCCCGGGCUCAACCUGGGAACUGCAUCUGAUACUGGCAAGCUUGAGUCUCGUAGAGGGGGGUAGAAUUCCAGGUGUAGCGAUGAAAUGCGUAGAGAUCUGGAGGAAUACCGGUGGCGAAGGCGGCCCCCUGGACGAAGACUGACGCUCAGGUGCGAAAGCGUGGGGAGCAAACAGG
rnacentral:rRNA from 1 species